rnacentral:rRNA from 1 species
AACGAACGCUGGCGGCAGGCUUAACACAUGCAAGUCGAGCGCAUCCUUCGGGGUGAGCGGCAGACGGGUGAGUAACGCGUGGGAACGUACCCUUUCCUACGGAAUAGCUCCGGGAAACUGGAAUUAAUACCGUAUACGCCCUUAGGGGAAAAGAUUUAUCGGGGAAGGAUCGGCCCGCGUUGGAUUAGCUAGUUGGUGGGGUAAAGGCCUACCAAGGCGACGAUCCAUAGCUGGUCUGAGAGGAUGAUCAGCCACAUUGGGACUGAGACACGGCCCAAACUCCUACGGGAGGCAGCAGUGGGGAAUAUUGGACAAUGGGCGCAAGCCUGAUCCAGCCAUGCCGCGUGAGUGAUGAAGGCCUUAGGGUUGUAAAGCUCUUUCAGUAGGGAAGAUAAUGACGGUACCUACAGAAAAAGCCCCGGCUAACUUCGUGCCAGCAGCCGCGGUAA